UUGGCGACGGGUGAGUAACGCGUGGAAAACCUGCCGUAUACUGGGGGAUAACACUUAGAAAUAGGUGCUAAUACCGCAUAAGCGCACAGCUUCGCAUGAAGCGGUGUGAAAAACUCUGGUGGUAUACGAUGGUUCCGCGUCUGAUUAGCUAGUUGGUGGGGUAAUGGCCUACCAAGGCAACGAUCAGUAGCCGGCCUGAGAGGGUGAACGGCCGCAUUGGGACUGAGACACGGCCCAAACUCCUACGGGAGGCAGCAG
rnacentral:rRNA from 1 species